UUCACUCUUCCCAUUCCAUUCCAUUCCAUUCCAUCUGAAACGUUUCACCUUACCUUUCUGACGUUCAUUUUCCGUUUCUUUUCAUCUUCUUUGAGCAGUUUCUGUUCAUCUGAAACGCAUUUGGGUUUCGAAAUUGAAAGCUAUUAAAAACCAUUCAGCCUUCCUCAAAGAAUUUCAUGUCUUCAUUCGCAUUAGGGCUCUGCUGCAAUCAGGAUUGACAAGGGAAAUCUCCAUGUCCGCUUGGCAGUCAGGAUUCGCACAAAGAAAUCAAGGCUUCCGCAGUGAUUAGGAUUUGCUCCGUGUCUGUAAUCCGGGCUUUCGAAGCACCUCUCCUAACGGCACCGCUUUUUCAUUCAGUGUCAUCGCCGAUAACAUCUCUUGGUUGUGCUGUCUUUCUGUUGGGGCAUUGAUUUCCCUUCUUUGGAUUCUGGCCCCCAAAAGACGUGAGAUUGUUGGACAGAUUGGUGAUGCCUUAAGGGCCAAAUUGGAUGAUAGAAUGAUCAUAGUCAAUUCUACAUUUAGAUAAUUUGGAGAUUGUUCACUGAGUAACUGGGUUCCUGAAAGGUUGCUUUAUUUUCUGUUUUUUUGGCAUGUAUUUUGUGUUAGGGCUCCGUCACGGCUCUCUUGGAGAAAUUAAUCUAGAAUACACUGUGAUUACUAAAGAGGCAAGGAAUCAGUUAUAAAGCUUCCCGUCUGACUUUUAGUUGGCCCUGAAACCUUUGCCAUGGACCACGAGAAAAAUGUACUUCACUAUUGGUGGCCCAAGCUUUGUGCACUACUGCACUAGGAUGAACCUCCAUGGAAUCUGUGGGUCUUUCUUUAUUGUUUCAAGAAAAAGCUGCAGGAAAUGGCAAAGUUGAAAAUGGUUCAGGCCCUAAUAGAGGAGAGGAGAGGAGAGUUUUGAAUGCACUACGAUUAUUUAUUGUAAUCUCUAUCCUAUGAUGUGGUGAUAUCUUUUAUUAAAAUGAACUUAUUUUUCUGUUGAGUAUAAUCUAAUAAAGUUGUCUAUUCUUUUA